GCGUCAAGACCACUCAAAUGAAAGAUGGCCGCCGACGCCGUCAGGAGAUCCACUUAGGCCGAUUUCCCGGCUCUUUAUAAAGAGUAACACGACACUCGACCUUAGCUGUCAGUGGAGCGCUCAGGGCCCCCACUUUUUAAAAAAAAAGGUGUGAUUCUGAUGUCACGACCGCAGUUAUUCUCUGAAUUCCACGCUGAUGCACUCAUCCUUCAGUGCUGUGCUUUCCAUCAGGCCGCCCUGUCAGGAACAGACAUGGGGAUUGGAGGGAGGGGAGGGGGGGGAUGUACAGCUGGAGCAAGAGAGAAGUGAAGAAUAACAGAACCCUCUGAUGUGUGUGUUUGUGUGUUGGAACAUGGAGCCUCUCUCUCUCUUUUCGCCCCCCAUUCUCCCCCCAUCACAGGAGCAGUGCUGGAUCCUGUCCACAUUGUCGAUUGUGCCAUUCUUCAAAUGUACUUUUCGGUUUCCGCCCAUAAAUUUUUUAGCAUCCCCAUUAAGUAUAAGGUAAUUGCAUUGGCUCUAUAUAACGCCCCGAGCUACGAGACUAAUUAAAGCAGAAACAGGAGUUUAGGCAUAUUUAUUAAGAAGACUUCGAUUAAUUAUGGAAGACAGACGUGUGACUUUAAAUGAGAGAUAUUAAGAGAGAGAUGAUCCUCAUCCUCCAGCACCCAGACCCUUAUAGACAGCCGAAGGCUGGGAGGGAGAGAGAAGGAGAAAGAGAGAGAGGCAUGGAGUGAGAGAAGGAGAAGGAGAGAGAGGCAUGGCGUGAGAGAAGGAGAAGGAGAGAGAGGCAUGGCGUGAGAGAAGGAGAAGGAGAGAGAGGCAUGGCGUGAGAGAAGGAGAAGGAGAGAAAUAGGCAUGGAGUGAGAGAAGGAGAAAGAGAGAGAGGCAUGGAGUGAGAGAGAAGGAGAAGGAGAGAGAGGCAUGGCAUGAGAGAGAAGGAGAAAGAGAGAAAUAGGCAUGGAGUGAGAGAAGGAGAAAGAGAGAAAUAGGCAUGGAGUGAGAGAAGGAGAAAGAGAGAAAUAGGCAUGGAGUGAGAGAAGGAGAAAGAGAGAAAUAGGCAUGGAGUGAGAGAAGGAGAAAGAGAAAUAGGCAUGGAGUGAGAGAAGGAGAAAGAGAGAAAUAGGCAUGGAGUGAGAGAAAAGGAGAAGGAGAGAGAGGCAUGAAGUGAGAGAAGGAGGAGAGAGAGGCUUGGAGUGAGAGAAGGAGAAGGAGAGAGAGGCAUGGAGUAAGAGAAGGAGAAGGAGAGAGAAGCAUGGAGUGAGAGAGAAGGGGAAAGAGAGAGAUAGGCAUGGAGUGAGAGAGAAGGGGGAAAGAGAGAGACAUAGCCACAGAGAGAGAGGGUACCGAAACACACAGGGGGCUUUGUUCCCCCAGCAGCAUGUAUGUGUGCAGUGAGUUCCGCUGUUCUCUCUCCGAGCAAAAGGCCACAGGGCAGACGUGAGGCCGUGACUGAUGCCAAAGAAAUGUGUCAGAGAGCACGUGGCGAGGACGGGCAGCGGGAGCUUUGUCAACCCUGCCUCCCUGCCACUCCAGACCAUUAUAUAGCCUAAUUGGCUCCUACAUUAUGGGAUUGUGUUAGGGAGGUUGACAGCCAUGGUUUUCCUGGUGAAUAGGACUUAAAACAACAUGUGCUGUGGAGGGCUGACUGUUUCUGGGCUGAAGAGAGGAGCGA
ensembl:lncRNA